rnacentral:rRNA from 1 species
UACGUAGGGGGCAAGCGUUGUCCGGAAUUAUUGGGCGUAAAGAGCGUGUAGGUGGUCCGGUAAGUCCGCUGUGAAAGUCCAGGGCUCAACCCUGGAAUGCCGGUGGAUACUGUCGGGCUAGAGUCCGGAAGAGGCGAGUGGAAUUCCUGGUGUAGCGGUGAAAUGCGCAGAUAUCAGGAGGAACACCGAUGGCGAAGGCAGCUCGCUGGGACGGUACUGACGCUGAGACGCGAAAGCGUGGGGAGCAAACAGG